AUACGUAGGGUGCAAGCGUUAAUCGGAAUUACUGGGCGUAAAGCGUGCGCAGGCGGUUUUGUAAGACCGAGGUGAAAUCCCCGGGCUCAACCUGGGAACUGCCUUUGUUCCCGCAAGGCUAGAGUACGGGAGAGGGGGUUGGAAUUCAGCGUGUAGCGGUGAAAUGCGUAGAUAUGCGGGGGAUCCCCGAUGGUGAACGCAGUCCCGUGGGGCUGUACCGACGCUCGUGCACGAAAGCGGGCGGAGCAAGCAGGAGUAGAUGCCCCUGUUGUGCACGGCCUAAACGAUGUCGACGCGUUGCUGGGGGUCCAUUGACGGUGCAACGAAGCCAACGCGUUUAGUGGCUCGCCGGGGACGUACGGCCGCAAGGUUGAACCUCAAAUGAACUGACGGGG
rnacentral:rRNA from 1 species